rnacentral:rRNA from 1 species
AGGAUGAAUGCUGGCGGCGCGCCUAACACAUGCAAGUCGAGCGGAAAGGCCCUUCGGGGUACUCGAGCGGCGGACGGCUGAGUAACGCGUGGGAACAUGCCCCAAAGUGAGGAAUAACUGCCCGAAAAGGGUAGCUAAUGCCGCAUAUGAUCUUAGGAUUAAAGGAUUUAUCCGCUUUGGGAGUGGCCCGCGUACGAUUAGGUAGUUGGUGAGGUAAAGGCUCACCAAGCCCACGAUCGUUAACUGGUCUGAGAGGAUGAUCAGUCAGACUGGAACUGAGACACGGUCCAGACUCCUACGGGAGGCAGCAGUGAGGAAUCUUCCACAAUGGGCGAAAGCCUGAUGGAGCGACGCCGCGUGCAGGAUGAAGGCCUUCGGGUUGUAAACUGCUUUUAUAAGUGAAGAAUAUGACGGUAACUUAUAGAAUAAGCACCGGCUAACUACGUGCCAGCAGCCGC